GGGUUGUGAGGUUAAGCGACUAAGCGUACACGGUGGAUGCCCUGGCAGUCAGAGGCGAUGAAGGGCGUGCUAAUCUGCGAUAAGCGCCGGUAAGGUGAUAUGAACCGUUAUAACCGGCGAUACCCGAAUGGGGAAACCCAGUGUGACUCGUCACACUAUCAUUAACUGAAUCCAUAGGUUAAUGAGGCGAACCGGGGGAACUGAAACAUCUAAGUACCCCGAGGAAAAGAAAUCAACCGAGAUUCCCCCAGUAGCGGCGAGCGAACGGGGAGGAGCCCAGAGCCUGAAUCAGCAUGUGUGUUAGUGGAAGCGUCUGGAAAGGCGCGCGAUACAGGGUGACAGCCCCGUACACAAAAGCGCAUGUGCUGUGAGCUCGAUGAGUAGGGCGGGACACGUGGUAUCCUGUCUGAAUAUGGGGGGACCAUCCUCCAAGGCUAAAUACUCCUGACUGACCGAUAGUGAACCAGUACCGUGAGGGAAAGGCGAAAAGAACCCCGGCGAGGGGAGUGAAAAAGAACCUGAAACCGUGUACGUACAAGCAGUGGGAGCCCCACCACCAAAGCAUUUGCUGUACCGCGUUGACGGAGCGAAGCGACGUCAAACCGAUAAAACAGCAGUGUAAAGUGAGCCGCAGGGCGCUUUGCGCGACAGCGCAAAGGCAGGCGGUUUCGCGUAGCGAAAGCGAAUGCUUUGGGGUGGGGUGACUGCGUACCUUUUGUAUAAUGGGUCAGCGACUUAUAUUCUGUAGCAAGGUUAACCGAAUAGGGGAGCCGGAGGGAAACCGAGUCUUAAUUGGGCGUUAAGUUGCAGGGUAUAGACCCGAAACCCGGUGAUCUAGCCAUGGGCAGGUUGAAGGUUGGGUAACACUAACUGGAGGACCGAACCGACUAAUGUUGAAAAAUUAGCGGAUGACCUGUGGCUGGGGGUGAAAGGCCAAUCAAACCGGGAGAUAGCUGGUUCUCCCCGAAAGCUAUUUAGGUAGCGCCUCGUGAAUUCAUCUCCGGGGGUAGAGCACUGUUUCGGCUAGGGGGCCAUCCCGGCUUAC
rnacentral:rRNA from 1 species